ACACACUCUCUCUCUCUCACUUACUCAAUCGCCUACCAUGGGUCAUGCAAGCACUCCAGCUGUAAAAAGUCAAAACAGCUUAAAGUAAUCCAGGGACAGCACUAGUACUUUGUAUCUGACACUUCAUUGAAAAAAUAGACUGUGCCUGAGUAGAACAAGAAAGAAGGCGGAUGUGCUUAAAAGUUUUCAGAGAAGAAAACAUACAACAUUUUAAUAAUGAAAUAAAGUUCUCAAGGGAGGAAAAAUAAAGCAGAACACAGUUCACAGACUGAAGAAUAAGUAUUGAUUGACACAGUGAGAAAGAUUGUUACUCCAGAUAUGGAACCCUAAUUGAGAAAGGAUUGAAUAAGACCGUAUUUCCACUGCAACUUCUUCAAGGCACAACACUUGCCACUGGCUUUUAGUGUCACUCUUUAAAUGGUCAACAUGGAAGCCUGAGCCCACACAAUCUGCAAAGAGCCAAAGACCUCCUCUUCACAACUGAAACCUUACCAUUUCCUGACAACAUACCUAUGAUGCUUGACGCCUGUAGUCAUACAGCAAGACGUAAAAUAUGCUUCAUGUCUUCUAUCGUUAAAAAUAGCAGAGAUUACCAAGGAGCUACCAUUGCUUUUUUUAAAGCGUCACUCUUGGAACAGACAUCUUUUGCUGACAGAACAGUCAUGCAUAAGAAUGACUUUUUUGUUGUUGUUUUAAAUACUCCCUUUAACCACUGUAUGUUAUCUUGCAGAGGACUUUUCCCUGAAUUCAGAUAAAUAUAAAAAAAUAAAAGUGUUGCAGUUCA